GAUGUUGACUUGCAACCAAAUAGUCAUCCUAUGUUGGGAGCUAAUGGAUCCUGUCCAGAUUUGAUAUUGACAGAACAUUAACUGAAUGUGGAAUUUGCACUAGCUGUGUCCUACUGAGCCUUUUGUGCUUUCUAGAGGUUUGUUGAUAAGUCUGUGCAUAUGUUUGAUCAACGUAACCUAACUUCUGGUGGUGUUGGUGCACCAGUACACAAACUUGAUGGUCACAAGGCUGUUGUUCUCUA